AAAAGAGCAGAGCUGGGAGACCAGGGAGGAUGUAGCUGCAGGAAUCCCAGGAAUGCAGGUGAGGGCUGGAGGCGGUUGCCCUGCAGGUGAGUGAUGGGAGAGGCCAGAGGGGCCAGCGAGGUGUGGGUCUGGAGCCAGCAGAUCAUGUUUUCUGUCUGUCCUUCCUCCACGACGAUGUACUCUUUAGGAGCCGAGUGACGAUGACCUGUGGAUGAGCAGCCUGGGAUGCCCCUGUCCCCAGCCUCUUCAACCUGACACAAGUUUGCAUUCUAUGCUCUCUUUCUUUGGAACAAGGAUUGACUCCUAAGUGGCAUCUGGAGAAGGCCGAGCUUCCUGCAGGGACCUGAAGAGGGUAUUAAUAGCAACUUUCCUCUGUGGGGUGUGGGACCAGCAGGUCAGGACAAUGGACCCCAGCCAGGAACCGAUCCAGAAGUGACCACUGGCUGCCACUGAGUGGAGCCCACCAGGCCCGCUCUCCUCUCAGCCACAGUGGGGAUUGCUUUCUGCAUCCUGCUGAGAAAAAAACUGCAUAGAACAAUUUCUGAAAUUAAGGGCCAUCCACUGGGUUAUUUUAAACCAAAGAGCUGAAGCCUCCUUCAGUAGACACAGGAAAAUUGAUUAAAGUCCGUGCUUCAAGGGCCCUGAAAGCACUUUAUGUCAAUGUCCUUCCUGCGAUAGUGCUUCUGUGUUUUAAUAGUAAAGCCUGCAUGAGUUUACUAAGAAGGAAAACCUUAUGUGUUUUGCAGGUAAAAUGUCUGUCACCCAGGCAUUGAACUCAGCAGUAUGGUUUGGCAAUUACUGUCCUCAAGGCUCCUUUCUUUCAUUAUCUUUAUCUCCUUUAAAAAAAUUUUUUUAAAGAUUUUUUUCUUAUUUCAAAUGGUGCACAAUCUUAUACAAGAUUUUAAAAAUUACAAAAUUAACUAGCAAAAAGUUAAAAUCCUCCCUAAUGCAGACGGCAAGGGGCUAUGGCUUCCUUCCUGUGCGACCAACAUUCUUUUUGGUAUGUUAUGCUUUUAUCAGCUGCUUUGGAAUCUGAGGCUGAUUGGUUCCAUCUGCAUUUCUGUUUGACUUUCAGCUCUGAGCUCACCCUAAUCAUAGCUCACUAUCGAGAAAAAGCACAGAGACUGCUACAGAAGCUGCAGGCUUCUACUUGAUAAUACAACCUAGUAACAUACUGAGCUGGUCUGGAACCACUCACACAGACCCCUCCAAUCACUGAGAGCCCAGGGCUGAUGGAGCAAAUAGAAGAUACCACAACGCAAGGAGGGCUCCUAAAAGAAGUCUUAGACAAGGAGUCUGCAUCUGCCAAACUCCAUUUUUCUGGAAUCCCAGCUGAAUGCUGGGAUUCAUUAAUGCUUCCACGUUGCAUUCUAACACCCAGAGCUGCCCCAGUUCUAAUCUGUGAUUCACAGUUAGCCUGGUCAUCAUGCGUAUGGAUGGCCUUGCCCAUAGGCACAUCCAUUCUCUCUUCCAGGCUGGCAGGUUUUCUCUAGGUUUGCUCACUUUUUUUGUACUUAUUUCUGCAUUUGCCUCCUGAAGGUUUUUAGAAACAGAAACGGAGUCAUCAGAUUGCUCACAGUGGCCAAAUCUUGCCCUAAAGUCAAAGCUCUGAAGCACUGCACUAAAGAGCUCUUGGAACACCCGUGGAUUCCCAAGGAAAGGAAUGGAUAAAGUUAAGCCAUGAUGACCUUGUUGAAUCCAGCCAUUCUGCAAGUGCCUGUUUUGACUUUAGGGAUGGAAGUCCUUCCAGGCAUGCCAAGAGGGAAGGAAACAUGGCAGGUGCACUGGCUUUGAAGUUGCCGUGGUGGUUGCAAUCCUGCAUCUGUCUGUUCCUGAUGG
rnacentral:lncRNA from 1 species